rnacentral:rRNA from 1 species
UACAGAGGUGGCAAGCGUUGUUCGGAAUUACUGGGCGCAAAGGGCGCGUAGGCGGUUUGUCAAGUCCCGUGUGAAAGCCCUCGGCUCAACCGAGGAACGGCGCGGGAAACUAGCAGGCUCGAGUUCGGGAGAGGGAAGCGGAAUUCCGGGUGUAGCGGUGAAAUGCGCAGAUAUCCGGAGGAACACCGGUGGCGAAGGCGGCUUCCUGGACCGACACUGACGCUGAGGCGCGAAAGCUAGGGGAGCAAAC